GACGAACGCUGGCGGCGUGCCUAAUACAUGCAAGUCGAACGAGAGCGACCGGUGCUUGCACUGGUCAAUCUAGUGGCGAACGGGUGAGUAACACGUGGGUAACCUGCCCAUCAGAGGGGGAUAACAUCCGGAAACGGAUGCUAAAACCGCAUAGGUCUUUGAGCCGCAUGGCUUGAAGAGGAAAAGAGGCGCAAGCUUCUGCUGAUGGAUGGACCCGCGGUGCAUUAGCUAGUUGGUGAGGUAACGGCUCACCAAGGCCGUGAUGCAUAGCCGACCUGAGAGGGUGAUCGGCCACAUUGGGACUGAGACACGGCCCAAACUCCUACGGGAGGCAGCAGUAGGGAAUCUUCCGCAAUGGACGCAAGUCUGACGGAGCAACGCCGCGUGAGUGAAGAAGGUUUUCGGAUCGUAAAACUCUGUUGUUAGAGAAGAACAAGUGCUAGAGUAACUGUUAGCGCCUUGACGGUAUCUAACCAGAAAGCCACGGCUAACUACGUG
rnacentral:rRNA from 1 species